rnacentral:tRNA from 1 species
CGCGGGAUGGAGCAGUCUGGUAGCUCGUCGGGCUCAUAACCCGGCUCAUAACCCGAAGGUCGUCGGUUCAAAUCCGGCUCCCGCAACCA